rnacentral:misc_RNA from 1 species
UUUCCGUAGGUGAACCUGCGGAAGGAUCAUUAUUGUAUAACCGAGGUGCGAGGGCUGUCGCUGACUCGAAAGGUCGUGCACGCCCGAGUUCCCUCACACACAUCCAUCUCACCCCUAUGUGCACCACCGCGUGGGUCCCCCUUUGGCUUGUUCGGAGGGGGGCUUACGUUUUCACACAAACUUUGUAUGCAGUGUAGAAUGUAUUUUUUGUUUUUGCGAUCACGCAAUCAAUACAACUUUCAACAACGGAUCUCUUGGCUCUC